AUUUAGUACUACCUGCGUGAGCGGAACGAAAACAACAACACCUAAAAUGUGGAAUAUAGCAUAUAGUCGACAAGAGAAAUCUACGAAAAACAAACAAAACUUUCAACAACGGAUCUCUUGGUUCUCGCAUCGAUGAAGAGCGCAGCGAAAUGCGAUACCUAGUGUGAAUUGCAGCCAUCGUGAAUCAUCGAGUUCUUGAACGCACAUUGCGCCCCUCGGCAUUCCGGGGGGCAUGCCUGUUUGAGCGUCGUUUCCAUCUUGCGCGUGCGCAGAGUUGGGGGAGCGGAGCGGACGACGUGUAAAGAGCGUCGGAGCUGCGACUCGCCUGAAAGGGAGCGAAGCUGGCCGAGCGAACUAGACUUUUUUUCAGGGACGCUUGGCGGCCGAGAGCGAGUGUUGCGAGACAACAAAAAGCUCGACCUCAAAUCAGGUAGGAAUACCCGCUGAACUUAAGCAUAUCAAUAAGCGGAGGA
rnacentral:rRNA from 1 species